UACGGAGGGUGCGAGCGUUGUUCGGAAUCAUUGGGCGUAAAGCGCGUGUAGGCGGUUCGUUAAGUCUGGUGUGAAAGCCCCGGGCUCAACCCGGGAAGUGCAUCGGAAACUGGCGAACUUGAGUGCGGGAGAGGAAAGUGGAAUUCCGAGUGUAGGGGUGAAAUCCGUAGAUAUUCGGAGGAACACCAGUGGCGAAGGCGGCUUUCUGGACCGACACUGACGCUGAGACGCGAAAGCGUGGGGAGCAAACAGGAUUAGAUACCCUGGUAGUCCACGCCGUAAACGAUGGGUACUAGGUGUCGCGGGUAUUGACCCCUGCGGUGCCGAAGCUAACGCAUUAAGUACCCCGCCUGGGGAGUACGGCCGCAAGGCUAAA
rnacentral:rRNA from 1 species